rnacentral:lncRNA from 1 species
UAGAAACCAUUGUAUUGCAGGGGGCACACCACUGUCCCCUAUUCUGAGGGUUGUAAUAAGUGGUCAUCACGCAGAAUGGAGAGUGAACCUUACUAGACAUUGUCACAAGUGGGAAGAGGUAACAGACAUCAUGCUGGAGUGAGGUGAUUGUAAAAGAGGUAAUAAGGAGAUCUCCAGAAACUGUUUCCUGGAAUUGAUGAAGUGUGCCACACAUAAGAGUAAGGUAAAACAUGAAAAAUGGCCAGGCGUCAUGGCCCUUUCCAGCCCUAAACAUAUGGUUGUGUUGGUUUAAUGUUAGAGAAAAUGAGCAUAACCAAGAAAGAAAGAUCUUUUUUUUUUUUUUUUUGAAACGGAGUCUCGCUCUGUCGCCCAGGAGAAAAGUAACCAUAACUUUUCAGGGUAAUAUUCUGAGUGCACAGGUUUCUCUGAGAAGGGUCCAGGUGCCGCCAUUCCUCUCUGCUGAAAUCGAUAGCCACAUCCCUGAAGGACACUGAUCCCUGUAAGGGCAAAUUCCUGUUAAAUGUGCACAGUCAGCUUAGACGGUUGGAGAGACUAUAUUUAGGAAUAUGGAAUACAGGUCUUGUUGUUUUAAAUUUACAUUCUCUUUUUAAAAACUCACUCCCAUUUCUCUAAUACUUUAUUAUGAAAAUUUUCAAACAUACCGACAAUUUAAAAUAAUUGUGCAGUAAGAAAUGUAUACCUACCACCUAGGAUCAAUCAUUAACACUUUACUUGCUUUAUCAUACAUCUAAGCCAUUCUUUUAUCUAUCCAUCUUGCUUCUUUGUACAUUUCA